rnacentral:rRNA from 1 species
CCUACGGUAGGCAGCAGUGAGGAAUAUUGGUCAAUGGGCGGGAGCCUGAACCAGCCAAGCCGCGUGAAGGAAGAAGGCGCCAGGCGUCGUAAACUUCUUUUGUCGGGGAACAAAGGGCGCCACGCGUGGCGUUGUGAGUGUACCCGAAGAAAAAGCAUCGGCUAACUCCGUGCCAGCAGCCGCGGUAAUACGGAGGAUGCGAGCGUUAUCCGGAUUUAUUGGGUUUAAAGGGUGCGUAGGCGGUCCGGAAAGUCAGUUGUGAAAGUUUGCGUCUCAACCGUAAAAUUGCAGUUGAAACUGGCAGUCUUGAGUACAGUAGAGGUGGGCGGAAUUCGUGGUGUAGCGGUGAAAUGCUUAGAUAUCACGAAGAACUCCGAUUGCGAAGGCAGCUCACUGGACUGCAACUGACACUGAGGCUCGAAAGUGUGGGUAUCAAACAGGAUUAGAUACCCUUGUAGUC